CACAGAGUUACAGAGCUCUACAAAGUUUCAGUCUCCUUUCUGCUUGAACACUGUGCUUCUUCAAUUCAAAGCUCUUUCAUCAUCGCCAUGGGUUUCUUCGACCUCAACAUACCUUACGACGAGCAUUCAUCAUCAUCAUCAUUAUCAUCAUCAUUAUCAUCAUCAUCUUCGUCUUAUUCUUCAAGUAGGAAUCGCAUCAGGAUUGUGGCCAAACUCAUGGAGCUCGGCUACUCUGGUAUCGCCUACAACCGUACAAUCAAAGGAGUGAUGUCCGAUCGAGACCGUUGUUCUAUUCCCCUCCUCAACGUCUCAUCUCUUCACAGUAUCCUUCCAUCCUUCUCCGCCUCCGUAGAGUUCCAUCGGGAUCUCCUCGGCGUCCCACGGUCCUCUCGUUUCCGGCAGUACACGCGUCUUACUAUUUCUGUUAACAGUUUGCACGAGGUUAUGGCUGUCAAUUCUGACAACCUUAUUCUGAAGACCUACGAUUUGAUUGCUGUGAAGCCUCUUAAUCAGUAUUCCUUCGAGCAGGCUUGCGAGAAAUUGGAGAUAGAUAUAAUUGCCAUUGAUUUUGCGGAGAAACUGCCUUUCAGCUUGAAGCAAGGUCCGAUUAAAUCUGCAAUUCAGCGUGGAGUUUACUUCGAAAUCAUGUACGCUGAUCUCCUUUCCGAUGUUCAUGAUAGGAGGCAAACGAUAUCCGCUGCUAAGAUCUUGGUGGAUUGGACUAAAGGAAAGAAUCUCAUAUUAUCCAGUGCUGCCCCCUCUGUAAAUGAAAUCAGAGGACCUUACGAUGUCGCAAACUUGUCAUCAUUGCUAGGUGUCUCUAUGGAAUGCGCAAAAGCUGCUGUUUCAAAGAACAGUAGGAAUCUUAUAGCUAAUGCUCUAAAGAGAAAGCAAUUCUACAAGGAAACCAUUCCAGUUGAAAGGAUAUCAUCAGAUGAUAAAUUAGAUCUGAAUGACCCUUUGUCAGCGGAUUUGUUCAAAUGGGAUCCUAUAUCAGGUGGUGAAGGUGAUUUUGUAUUGGAUGAUAUAGCAAAAUCUUUUGCUGCCUCUAAUAAAAAAUUGAGAGGUGCGAAAGCCAUUGACGACGUGCCACCUCAAGGUUUUCUAGUCAAGAAUGUAAUAUCAGGCUCUAAGGAAAAACUGUUGUUGAAUGAGAAAGGCAAAAGCACUGUUGAAGAAAUUGCGCAGCCAAAGACCUCAAAGAUGGAAGAACCUAUUGAAAUGGACAUUGAUAACGUGCAAUUGAAAAACCCACUACCCAGUAGCGAGUUAAGUGCAGUAUCAGCAAAUGAGCUUCUGAAUUCUCCUACAUCUACCAGAGAUGUAUCAGCUGUAGUUUUCGGAAAUGACAGAAAAGAAACUUCUAAAAUGGAGGCUGUUGAUUCUCAUCAGUAUGAAUAUGGUCUAAAAAGUUCUGAUAUAUUGACUGGUUCAGAAAAUAUGUUGAGGGACAAAACUUCUACUAAUUUGGUUUCAGAAAAUCAAAAGAAUGUGAUAAUGGACGGUACAUUUACAACUGAAGAAUGUUUACUCGAUGCAAGAGUUGGGAAGCCUGGGGAUGUGGCAAUGGCUGAUUGUCAGGUUUCUCCUCUUGGUUUGAAAGAUGAUCAUUUGAUCUCGAUUCGACAAAAAACAUCUGAGGUGUUAAUGGAAGAGCAGAAAAGUGGAGAAGCUGAUCCAGAGAUCACACAACCACCUUCCGAUCAGUAGUGUAUAUCUGGUGUGUUGUCAACAGUAAACGCAGGGAAAUGCCCGUCGAAAGGAGAAGACAUCAUUCAGUGUCAAAGCUUUCGCUUGGGGUUAAUCAACCCUCUGGCCUUCAAGAAAGCCCAUGAAACGUAUACAGAGAAGUAGUGAUCAAAACGGAGGAGACAUCACCCAGUGCUAUUGCUUCCGUUCAAGCGCUCAAUCAAUCUGCUAGCCUUCAAGAAGAAGAGGCCAUGGCUAAGCCAGAGAAGUUGGGGCUCAUUAUCAGUCUAAUGAACCAACCAAUUGACCCACCAGGGGAUCCAAACUGUAGGAGGCUUGGAAUUCCAUGAAUCUUCCCCGCUGCUUGUAAAGCCGCAAAGCACUUCAUUGCUGGCAACACACAUGGUUGUCGUUGUACCUUGCGAAUCGUCCUCUGAUCCUUGGUCGACUAUCGGCUAGCGAUUUCCUACAAGCAUACUUUAACCACACCCAUAUAUUAGUGUGAAUUACUUUAACAACACUCAUGUAAUCUAUGGAUGUAAAGAGAGAACUUUCGCCACCAUUUAGAUUAAGUGUGAUGAUUUUAGCAAAUAUUUUCAUGGUAUCAUAACCCCUUUAGUUUAGCAAUCCUGAUCAUUUCUUCACCGGCUUCCAAAUCCUCUUCUCAUCUACUUCCUAACACUCUAAUCCAUUUGAUCAUCCUCAAGCUUUAUUCAUCAAAUUAUCUUAUUUGGAAAAACCAACUUCUCCUUCUCAUUGAGAGUCGGGACAUGUUGGAUUACGUUGAUGGAACUCUAGUUUCACCACCUUGCUUUGAACCAGCAACCUCCUCAACACUCAUUUGGUGUGGAAAGUAACCCAUCAAUGACUUUUUUGUCUCUUGCUCUCCUCUCUCACCGAGGAAGUCAUUGUUGUUGUGGUUGGUCUCUUCAUUGCCCGUGAUGUUUGGUUCACGUUAGAGACUAUGUUUAGCCAUAAUUCGAAAGUACACUUGUUCCUUCGUGGACUCAAAUCGAUUUCUUAACCUUUUCUACUGCUCAAAUGGCUAUGAUAUCACGAGAAUAUUUGCUAAAACCAUCACACCUAAACAAUGGUAAAAGUUCUCAAAUCGAUUUCUCAACCUUUUCUACUGCUCAAAUGGCUAUGAUACCACGAGAAUAUUUGCUAAACCAUCACAUCUAAACGAUGGUAAAAGUUCUCUAUUUAUAAUCAUUGACCGAAUAAAAGGAAGUGGAGAGAGCACUAAAUGGAUACAGGAUAUUAGCCUAUGAUCAAAGGUCAAAUAUGAUUCAUAGGAUUUGAUCAUCUCAUUUCUUGGACUACUUUUAGGAUGAUUUUAAAUUAUGGCUUUUCCAUCGUUCCCUUCCAAAUAUUGAAACGACCUUUUAACCUAAAGUGAGAGAGAUCGAUAUGACAAGCGAAAAAAUCACGAUAAUGUGAAAGUAACAACAAUAUUAGCUUAUAGUUGUUGGCACAUAGAAUCUAGGAAACAGUAUGUAGGCAGAAUAAUAUUGUGUAGAAUUAAUCCAUAAUUUCAAGUAGAAGACUUUACCUUGA